AGAGUUUGAUCAUGGCUCAGGAUGAACGCUGGCGGCGUGCUUAACACAUGCAAGUCGAACGAACCUUCGGGUUAGUGGCGGACGGGUGAGUAACGCGUGAGAAUCUGCCCUCAGGAGGGGGAUAACGGUUGGAAACGACCGCUAAUACCCCAUAUGCCGAUAGGUGAAAUGAAUUUCGCCUGAGGAUGAGCUCGCGUCUGAUUAGCUUGUUGGUGAGGUAAUGGCUCACCAAGGCUUCGAUCAGUAGCUGGUAUGAGAGGAUGAUCAGCCACACUGGGACUGAGACACGGCCCAGACUCCUACGGGAGGCAGCAGUGGGGAAUUUUCCGCAAUGGGCGAAAGCCUGACGGAGCAACGCCGCGUGAGGGACGAAGGCCUCUGGGCUGUAAACCUCUUUUCUCAAGGAAGAAGAUAUGACGGUACUUGAGGAAUAAGCCACGGCUAAUUCCGUGCCAGCCGCCGCGGUAAUAC
rnacentral:rRNA from 1 species